rnacentral:rRNA from 1 species
UGAGGAAUAUUGGUCAAUGGGCGAUAGCCUGAACCAGCCAAGUCGCGUGAGGGAAGACGGUCCUAUGGAUUGUAAACCUCUUUUGCCGGGGAGCAAAGGCGCCACGCGUGGCGAGCUGAGAGUACCCGGAGAAAAAGCAUCGGCUAACUCCGUGCCAGCAGCCGCGGUAAUACGGAGGAUGCGAGCGUUAUCCGGAUUUAUUGGGUUUAAAGGGUGCGUAGGCGGUCUGUCAAGUCAGCGGUCAAAUCGAGGGGCUCAACCCCUUUCCGCCGUUGAAACUGGUGGGCUUGAGUGGGCGAGAAGUAUGCGGAAUGCGAGGUGUAGCGGUGAAAUGCAUAGAUAUCACGCAGAACUCCGAUUGCGAAGGCAGCAUACCGGCGCCCAACUGACGCUGAGGCACGAAAGCGUGGGGAUCGAACAGG